AGAGUUUGAUUCUGGCUCAGAACGAACGCUGGCGGCAUGGAUUAGGCAUGCAAGUCGAACGAAGCAGCAAUGCUUAGUGGCGCAAGGGUGAGGAACACGUGAGUGACCUGCCCGCAAGUUUGGAACAGCUCCUGGAAACGGGAAUUAAUACCGGAUGUGAUCGUAGAGCUGCAUGGUUUUAUGAUUAAAGCAGUAAUGCGCUUGCGGAUGGGCUCGCGUCCCAUUAGCUAGUUGGUGAGGUAACGGCCCACCAAGGCCAUGAUGGGUAGCUGGUCUGAGAGGACGACCAGCCACACUGGGACUGAGAACUGCCCAGACCCCUACGGGAGGCUGCAGUCGAGAAUUUUGGGCAAUGGACGAAAAAGUCUGACCCAGCAAUGCCGCGUGCGGGAUGAAGGUCUUCGGAUUGUAAACCGCUGUUUGGAGGGAACGAAAAUUGACGGUACUUCCAGAGAAAGCCACGGCUAACUACGUGCCAGCCGCCGC
rnacentral:rRNA from 1 species